AUGCAUGGCGUUGGUAGUUGAUGUGGAGUGGGGAUAGUACAUACUAGCAUUAGGCUUGAUUAAUUUUAAAUAUAAUUAUAACCACCAGCUUCAGCUAGAUUUGUGAGUUUUCUACAUUGAUGAAUAAUUGAUUCUUCGUUUUAUGAUGUGUGUUUGUGUGAAAAAAACUAUUUUUACUAAAAUUAUUUAUUUAGUAAUAGAACUUAGAAGUAUGUAAUUUAUUGAGAACUCGUUCUAAUCUAAGUUCGAAAAUUAAAAACUUAUUUAAAACGUUCAAUCCAUUUAGUUUGUUUUUAGUUUUGAUUUAUUUUUAAAUCGUAACCUAUACAAUUUACAAAAAAUACAGUGAUAUUUUAUUUUGAAAAAAGACAUCCCAUCUAUAUAUGAUCUAUCAUCUACUUCAGGCCUGGAUAUUUACUGACUAUAACUUAACAACACUCAACAGUGAUCAUGUGUUUCGAAUACUUUGAAGUUAAAAGUAAUACUAAUAUAAGUACUAUUUGUAGUAGUAUUAUUUUUACUAGUUAGGUUUCAUUGUUAUUAGUAGUACUAGUAGGAAGGCCUAUACCAUAGCUUGAUUUUUUUUACGUCAAAGUAAAUAGCGACUGUUGCUAUCUAGUAGUAGUAUUUACCAUAUUGAAUGGAAAACAAAUUAAACAUUAUAAUACAAAUGUAAUCAUGUUAUCUGAACGUGUAAAACAUAACUAUAUCUGUCAAAAGUGUCAGGAUGCCUGACGAGGUAUAUGCACAAAUGAAAAUUUGAGAACAUAUAAAAGUCUUGAUGCUUGCAACUUCCUCAGCAGUGACUAAGUCUGGCCGGACUUGCUGGUUUUUCUCAAUCAGCGAGACUUAUUCAUUGCAUCACCAAAGCAGGUGUCAACCAUUCACAAAGACUAGUAUAUAACUUACAUGCAGCUUUAGUCAUUAACAAGGAAACUGGUGUCAUAAUUACGGCCAACUAUUUGUGCAGAGCAGGGUAAAAAAUACAAGUGUUCAAUUUGCUUUUCUGAAUUUGCUUUUGCAUCUGGUUUGUAUCGGCAUAAACGUUACAAGCAUGAUGGAGCUCCUAGAAAAGGUUGUCUACUUUGUGGAAAAUCCUUUUGCCGACCUGACAAUUUGUCAACACACAUGUGGACAGCACACCAUUCUUAUAAAUCUAAAACAAAGGAAAACUUUCCAUGUAUGAAUAUUUAAAAUAAAUGUUUUUAUGACUCGUCUGAAGUAAAGAGGCCAAGUUUAGAUGUGAUGUAUGUAAUGCUCAGUUUACUUUUGGAUCAGCACUUACAAGACACAAGAGGUUUCAGCACAAAAGAGCUUCAUUACACUGUCCUAUGUGUGGACGAACUUUUCGCCGACCUGACCAUAUUUCAGAACACAUGAAGGCCAAGCAUGGAGUCUUUGUUAACAAAAAGAAGAGUACAGAUUCAUUAUUAAAAGAAUAUUUUUAUGUGUAGGAAAAUGAGACAUUGUUCCUUGUUUUUUGAUAAAUAUUUCCAGUUGUCAUUUCUUUAUCAAAUACAAACAAAUGAGAUUUUUUUUCAGUAGCCUAAUUUGUAACAUUUUCAUGUAAACCAGCUACACUUUGCAUAAAUUGUAUUACUCAUGUUUGUAAUUUAUAAAUCUAGCUUACAAGGUUGAAAUUAAAACUGAAUUAAAUUUGUAUUAACCACAGUUAGAUAUAAAUAUACAAUCACUUAAUAAAUGUGACCAUGUUUAUCAUUGUUGUAAAAAAUUAGGGUUUCUGCAUCUGUCUGGAAUUAUAAAACCUGAGGGAUGAUUUGUAAAUGCCUUAUUCGUAAGUUGUUGAAAAGUUUCUAAUAAAAAUUCUCAUGUUUAAA